ensembl:lncRNA
UCACUUUCUAGUUGGUAAGGAAACUAUUUUAUUACUAUAUCCCCUUUUUUUCUGAGGCAGUAAAACGGAUAUGAGUGCAAGGACAGCACAACUUACUGCUGUGGUUCCUUUGUAGCCCUGCUAUAGAUGCCAAAGCUGCAAGUAAUAGCAAGGAGGAACUUCUGAUACCUGGACUUUGACUGGAUGUUUUGUUAUGAACAACAUCUUUUUCAAAGAUGUUCAUUUUUUUAAAAAAAAAAAGUAAAUGUUGCCCAAUUUCCAGAACCUUCCUUAUCAUUUUUCUUUGAAUUUUACUGCUAAGGUAUUGAAUAAGCGUUGGGUCCGUAUCAGUGUCUGUGUCAUUGCAGUGAGACAGGACUAGUAUUACAGGGACUGUGCAAUUUCAUUUGCUUUGAGGGAGGGAAGGAGCAAGGAGAGGGGGAGGAAAUAACUCUGUUGUGCAAAUGAUAUGCUAGAUUAGCUUUGUUAAGAUCAGAGUAGACUCAGAAUUCUGUUAGACAACUAUCUUCCUCGCUUUUGACUGAGGUGGGAACAAAGACAAGUUAGGAGCAUUAAGAGGUUUAUAGGUACAACCUGCCUGGCUUUUGUGAGUAACUUCCUUUGCGAAGCCUGUGCCUUCCUUUUUCUUGCUCUUUAGGAUGCCUAUCUGACAGUGUAGGAUGCAAGAAUGACACCACAGGCAGAGUGCACAGAGGAGGAGAUCCAGUACCCAGGAAUCGGCUGGCACAAAGACCUCUGUUCAUAGAGCUGAAGUGGUGUAGAUCAUGUGGCAAUGCCCGGAGGGUGGGAUUGACGCUUGGAGGACUGUGAAGGGAAUGCUACUGGAGUAUUAUAGUGUACUAGACACACUUGUGACAUGGUGCCUCAUCGUACCUGCUCAAUUCUGUGGUCCUUUAUUUUGCUAUGAGAUUCAGACUGAUCACUUUGCCAGCUGUCAAGGCAAAUGUUGCUGUGUAGACCUUAGUCUCAACGACACUUAGUUUCCUGGUGAUGGGUGUCUUCAAAGGACUGGACAGAACAAACUUCCUACUGCAUCUGCAUUUUAGGUUCUCUGCUCUGUAAGUAUGCUGUGCCGUCUGGCAUUUCCAAGCUUGUUAACCAGGAAUGUUUUGACUUAAGAGCAUCUGGAAAAUUUAUAGUAAUGGUUUUGAUAUGAUUUGAUACCUUUUAGGUGAAUGAAACUUUGUAUCUGGCUAAAAUAAGCAUGAAAGGUAUUUUUAUAUUGAUUUAUUAGUCCCUAUAUUUGGCCAAAUUUUCCAUGAUUGUUAGAGAAAUCAGUAUUUUUCUUGUAGUACAUCACACACAUGCUGUAAACAGCAUGAAGACAAUAUUUGUUAGGUAGCAUCUGAUAAAAUUCGUUGUCUUUCCACUAUGUCCAACAGGAAAGGUUAGGAGAUGUUUUAAUUACCUUGAAGAUAACGUUUCAUAAGACUUAUAAGGUGUCGAGAGGUGUCUCUGAACGUAGAGAGACAGGAAUGUUUAAGCAGUGUUAUGUGUAUAGGUGUAUAUUUUCCAACUUUAAGAAAGAUGUGUUUGCAACCUAACUGCACUAACUUUUGCUGAAAUAAAC